CCACGGGUGGCUGCAGUGGGGAAUAUUGGACAAUGGGGGCAACCCUGAUCCAGCCAUGCCGCGUGUGUGAAGAAGGCCCUCGGGUUGUAAAGCACUUUCAGUGAGGAAGAACGCCUGGUGGUUAAUACCCAUCAGGAAAGACAUCACUCACAGAAGAAGCACCGGCUAACUCCGUGCCAGCAGCCGCGGUAAUACGGAGGGUGCGAGCGUUAAUCGGAAUUACUGGGCGUAAAGCGCGCGUAGGUGGCUUGAUAAGCCGGUUGUGAAAGCCCCGGGCUCAACCUGGGAACGGCAUCCGGAACUGUCAAGCUAGAGUGCAGGAGAGGAAGGUAGAAUUCCCGGUGUAGCGGUGAAAUGCGUAGAGAUCGGGAGGAAUACCAGUGGCGAAGGCGGCCUUCUGGACUGACACUGACACUGAGGUGCGAAAGCGUGGGUAGCAAACAGGAUUAGAUACCCCUGUAGUC
rnacentral:rRNA from 1 species